UACGUAGGGGGCAAGCGUUGUCCGGAAUCAUUGGGCGUAAAGCGCGUGUAGGCGGGUCGGUAAGUCCGCUCUGAAAGCCCGGGGCUCAACCCCGGGAGGCGGGUGGAUACUGUCGACCUCGAGUCCGGAAGAGGCGAGUGGAAUUCCUGGUGUAGCGGGUGGAAUGCGCAGAUAAUCAGGAGGAACACCAAUAGCGAAGGCAGCUCGCUGGGACGUUACUGACACUGAGGCGCGAAAGCGUGGGGAGCGAAACGG
rnacentral:rRNA from 1 species